CAAUAGCGUAUAUUAAAGUUGUUGCAGUUAAAAAGCUCGUAGUUGGAUUUCGGGGUGGCCUGGCUGGUCCGCCGCAAGGUGAGUACUGGUCAGCCGCCCUUCCUCUCGAAAGCCCCGACUGCUCUUUACUGCAGUGGUCGGGUAGUUCGGGACGUUUACUUUGAAAAAAUUAGAGUGUUCAAGGCAGGCUAUCGCCUGAAUACAUUAGCAUGGAAUAAUGGAAGAGGACCUCGGUCCUAUUUUGUUGGUUUCUAGGGCCGAAGUAAUGAUUAAGAGGGACAGUUGGGGGCAUUCGUAUUUAAUUGUCAGAGGUGAAAUUCUUGGAUUUAUGAAAGACGAACUAGUGCGAAAGCAUUUGCCAAGGAUGUUUUCGUUAA
rnacentral:rRNA from 1 species